UGGACCUUCGUCAUCUGCACACAAGGAUGGGUUUCUUUGUUUUGGGCAAAACCACUUUUUCAGAAAAUUAAUCUUCAUCAAGUCGUCAAUCUUGGAAGGCAAUAGGCAAAUUGAAAAGCUGAAAAAAGCAUCUACAAUCGUGCUUAUCUUCAAAGGUGUCGGUUGGUAGAGAUGAGUGAUUAUAACUUGCAAUUCUUAGGCAACGUAUCUGAAGUCAAUGAUAGCCAAGAUGUUAGCCAACACACACAAAAUGAUGAUGAAGGUGAAGAAAUUCUUAUGAGGAUAAUUAGGGGAGAUCAUAGCAUGACACCAAACCAUGCUGAUCGCGCGGUGAAUGAGAUGAAUGCAUCUAGAGGAUCUGUUAAUAGAAAUAUCGGAGAUAUGAGAUCAAAAACUAGACAUGGGACUAGGAAGAGGGCUGGAAAAAUCAAGAAACACAGGGGUAAAAAUAAGGUAAACUUUGCUCCUUAUGGCCCUGAGAAGAUGCUGUUUAACAAGUUUGGGCAGCCGGUUGCACCAGCUGAAACUGUUGCAAGGUUCUCAAGGUAUAUAGGAUAACUUGCAAGAGAAUCUUCUAUGUUUCCAAUCAAUGUACCUGACUUCAGGAAUUUUAAAGGGACCGGAAGGGUUGAAAGUGCAUGGGAAGAAAUAAAGGCAAAAAUAGAUUAGUCUAAGCCACAAACCUUGGCAAUUAUGAAAAGAAUUCAGAAAGUAGUGAAGAAGAAAUUAAAUGCGCGUUGGGGAAAACACUAGCACAGACUUUAUGUUGACUACUAUAUGGAAGACAAAGGACAUGCUGAACGAUUUGUAUGGCCAGAUGGGGAUGUGAAUCAACUACAAUGGCGUGCAUUGGUACUUCAUUGGGACAAAUUUGGUGAGAAAAAAUCAGUGACUACCAAGAAGAAUAGAAGUCAGUUGAAGGUGGCUGCAAACACCGGAACAAAGACAUUUGCCCAAAUACGAUCUGAAUGGCUCCGAUUCAGUCUCUCUGCCAAUUUUGGCGCCAAAUUCGAAUUGCAUCGAUAGGAGCUACCAUGGCGCUACUGAAAAAUCACAGGCCAACGCCAAUUUGAUGCAGAUUCCAUUUCGGAUCGACCUGUGGCAGUUCGCGUAAUUUCGAUCGAACAAAAUGUAGGGUUUUGAAGCGAUGACCUUCAGUUCACGGUGGGCCGGUGGCUACUUGAAGGCCAUCAUCCGGGGACAAUGUGCCGAUCUUCUCACCGCUGCUGAUUACAACAAUUUGUGCUAGUCCGAGACCCUCAACGACAUUAAGAUGCACCUCUCUGCCACCGAGUACGACCCCUCCCUCCAAAACGGUGCGCUUUAGUGUAUCUCUCUCUCUUAUCGUGGCUUGCAUUUUAAUUUGUUCGUAGCUGAGGAAAUUGAAUAGAAUUAGAGACUGAAUUAUGGAUCUUAUGCUUUGAUAGUUUGAUUUGAUGUAGUUUCCUACUGAAAUGAUGCCUAUUGAUCUGGAUUUGUAGUUUUCUCUAGGUAAUGAUUUGGCUUUGGUGUUUGGUGGUGUUGAUUUCAGAAUUAGUAUGAGCAACAAUCAUAUGGUGUCAUAAUUCGAUCAGAGGUGGUUUAUCUUUGAAUGCACCUAACAUUCCUGCAUGUAUGCAAACAGAUUGCAUCUGGAUAUCUGUAGUAGAACGAGGGAUUUGGAUUUUGCUGCCUAGCUCUGGUUUAUUGUCAUGCAUGCAUAUACAAAAGAUGGUUUAUGUGUGCACUGGUUCUUUUCUUUUGCAUCUAAUCGUUUGCACUUAAAUUGGGUUGUCAAUUGUGUGUACUGCAAUUUUAAACAAUGCUAUUGUUUGAAUAGUUAUUGUCUAUCUGUACGCAAUCUUAGGAUCUUUAUCUAAUAUGUUGGUAUAUAUAUGAGUUUAUAUGAACUUAUAAUAGACAAACACACACAAGCAUACAUGAUAGAUUCCUUUUUCCUUUUCUAUUAGGGCUGUCUUAGGCCAUGCUUCCUAUACCUAGACCAUUUGUAUAUAGAGAAAGUAUGACCAGCCCUCAAUUUUGCUAGUUGCUGGCUGAUAAAUAAUCUCCACUUUGUAGAAUCAUAGACCUGAGAAUGAAUCUUGUCUACAUAAUUCAAAUUACAAAUCUGUUAGGCCCUUUAGGAACAACACAGAAUGGUAAAGAAUACCCUCAGUCUAUUACCGAUCAGACAAAUGGUGGGAGCCUUUCGUGGUGCUUUUCUUUAUGUUGAUGGGGGAGAAUGGUUGGGAAAUGAUUUGGAAGGAAAUAUGGUGUUGUUGAUUCCCUAGGUUUGGCAUGAGGAAUAUUCCAACAUAACAUUCUUUGUACACCUUUAGAGUAGGUUUGUCAUGAACUCAUGAUAUCUGAUAUACUUCCAAUCUUAUGAAUCUUAAUGCAUUAGUGUCUGUAAGUGAAGUAUUUACUAUUUAUGUAUUAAGCACCAUCGAGUUUGUAGUGAGAGAAGCAUAUAUAACUAACUCUGCUUCUUAUCAAUAUGUAACAGGUAUAUAUGGCUACCUCAGCCAAAAAGGCUAUGGUUGUCCAUGUUAUGAAAAUACUAUCUGCAGAUGUCAUUUGUUUUAUUGAUAUUUUAGUUUCCUGACCAUUAGUCUCUGUUCAUGACCGUCAUUUUGUUGUGUAAUUGAUUUGCUUUCAUUAUUAUUAAUUGCAUUGUGUGUUAAAAUAGUGGAAAGAGUUUGUUACUUACUGUUGUACUUUAGUUCAGAUACUAAAGUACACUCCUCAAACAAUUUUGAUUUUUAGUUUUAAGUUCUAGUAUUAAUAAUUGCAUGGAAUUCAAAAAGAUAGUUUGAGUUUGUUUAGGAUUAUUUUCUUUGAAAGGGAAGAUGUUGUUCUAUGAGCCGAGAUGUUGGCCCCAUUGGCAUUGGAACUUGAAGAAGAAAGAUAGAUUUGUUUAGGGUGAAAUCAAAAGGAAGUGUGGGAUAGAUAUGCAGGGCAAUAUAUUUCAAUCUUUAUGUAUUUGUUUAGUAUAUGUCUAGGAUUGGAGACUGAUCAGCAGUAUGAUUUAUUAGGUUUCAGUAAUUUAUGUUCUCAAGUUAGGUCCUUUUAUGAGAAAUUUAAGAGAAGAAAUUCCAUUUAAGGUUUGAAGUAAGAUUUAAAAUGUUGUUUGGCAUGGCAAUCGUGAUUGGCCUUAUGCUUCAUACUAACACAAAGCAACUGAUUAGAGGACAAAAUUACCAAGAUGCAUUGGAAGUGCUCAGCAUUGGGGAGGUUAGUUGCUGCUUUUUGCAACUGAUAGUUUUCUUCUUAUGAAAUUUGACAUGUCAUAUGGCUUGUCAUAGCAGCUUUGAAUAUGUUUCCAAUAACUAAGAAUGACACACACAGGAAAUGAAUGUGGAAUUUAAUGAAGGCAUAACUUUAACUUUUUCUUUGGCAUGGGUUUGCCUUGCGUUUCUUAUACUCAGUCAUUACGAAAAUUUGAUGAGAACAGGAAGCACUAAGAGCUUUCGGUAUGGUACAUAUCCCAAUCAAGAACUUCAUGGCUUGAUACCUGAUCAAUUAUGAAGAAGAUGAAGUGGUGGCUGAAGGAAAGAUAUCUUCAACAAACCCAAGUACAAAAGUAAACCGGGAAGUACUCUGCUGUACUAGAUGCCCAAAGAAUUUAGAACUUUGUGAUGCAUGUUUUGUAAAGAAUUAUGUACAAGAACUUCAAUGAAAUGUAUAUUUUUCUUUUACAUGGUUAUAGUGUACUAAU